rnacentral:rRNA from 1 species
CCUACGGGUGGCUGCAGUGAGGAAUAUUGGUCAAUGGCCGGAAGGCUGAACCAGCCAAGCCGCGUGAGGGACGACUGCCCUAUGGGUUGUAAACCUCUUUUAUAAGGGAAGAAUAAAUGCUACGUGUAGCAUGAUGCCUGUACCUUAUGAAUAAGCAUCGGCUAACUCCGUGCCAGCAGCCGCGGUAAUACGGAGGGUGCGAGCGUUAUCCGGAUUUUUUGGGGUGAAAGCGAUGGUAGGCGGUAUGUCAAGUCAAGGGUGAAAUCCCCGCGAUCAACGUGGGAACUGCCUUUGAAACUGGCGAACUGGAGUGUGGGAGAGGGUAGUGGAAUUCCAGGUGUAGGGGUGAAAGGCGUAGAUAUCAGGAGGAACAUCAGUGGCGAAGGCGACUAUCUGGAACGUAACUGACGCUGAGGAGCGAGAGCGUGGGUAGCAAACAGGAUUAGAUACCCGUGUAGUC